rnacentral:rRNA from 1 species
GACGAACGCUGGCGGCGUGCUUAACACAUGCAAGUCGAACGGUGAAGCGCCUUCCUUUUUGGUGGGUGUGGAUGAGUGGCGAACGGGUGAGUAACACGUGAGUAGCCUGCCCCCUUCUUCUGGAUAACCGCAUGAAAGUGUGGCUAAUACGGGAUAUUCUGGGUCUGUCGCAUGAUGGGUCUGGGAAAGAUAUUGUUUCGGUGGGGGAUGGGCUCGCGGCCUAUCAGCUUGUUGGUGGGGUGAUGGCCUACCAAGGCGGUGACGGGUAGCCGGCCUGAGAGGGUGGACGGGCACACUGGGACUGAGACACGGCCCAGACUCCUACGGGAGGCAGCAAUGGGGAAUAGGGCACAAUGGGCGCAAGCCUGAUGCAGCGACGCCGCGUGAGGGAUGGAGGCCUUCGGGUUGUGAACCUCUUUCGCCAGUGAAGCAGGCCUGCCUCGUUUGUGGGUGGGUUGACGGUAGCUGGAUAAGAAGCGCCGGCUAACUACGUG